AAUUUAGAAAACUAAUCCCAUGUCUGCAUUUUUCCUGGACUGUAAUUUUCAAGGUCAGUGCUCUUUCAAACACACAAGGACUAUCACGACUAGUACUUGUCAGUUUUUCUAGUGUUUACCACCACACACAAGUGAACCAUUAAUUUUAUUAUGAAUACCUCAACUAGCUAACAUUCCUCCUGUGGCAAAAUCUGUGUGGAAUGCCCAUUUAAGGUCUUAACCAAUGUAAACUGCACAACCAAUACUUCAGAAAACAAAGGCUUGAAGUAAUCUGUUAUUUAGAGAUUAUGGGCUGCAAAUAGUAGCCCCUACAUAAACCAGUAGGAUUUUUGCUAUAGCAGGAUUGGGCACACAAUACUUUUGCAGUUCCUGAGUUAAUUACAUUUGCCUAAACUGAAGAAUGAAGCUGAACUUAAAUAGCUAAAUAAGACGUACCCCACCAAAACUUCAUGUUAUCUGA